CAGCUAUGAUGAAUUUUAUUCCAAUCAUUCGCAGUUUCCACCAUAAAGGCUUCUUAGUCUUAAUGAUGGCUGAAGAUCCUUCCUUGGAUGUCUGAGCUG
rnacentral:snoRNA from 1 species